rnacentral:rRNA from 1 species
UUGAAAAGGGAAACGAUUGAAGUCAGUCGCGCAGUCGUCAACUCAACGGUAUCGUUCGUAAUUUAUUGCUUACGUUCCCCGUGUACUUUGUUGUCUGCUGGUUAGCAUCAAUUUUGAUUGUCAUAAAAAGGUUAAGGGGAUGUGGCUCCUUCGGGAGUGUUAUAACCCUUGGCGGAAUGUGGCGAUUGGGAUUGAGGUUUGCAACGAAUACCUUUAGGGCAGUUCCUUCUGGUCUCUUGUUGACGUUCAGAUGACAACAGCUUGCUUUUGUUGUUUGAAUAGUUUGCGAAUAGAUUGGAAAGUGAAUUAAUUCGUUAAGGAUGUUGACGUA